rnacentral:lncRNA from 1 species
CACUGCAGUGACUAAUCAAUAUCCCACCAAAUCAAUAAAAGUUUCGACAACAUGACAUGGCAAUUAUAUUACUACCCAGCCUGUCAAAGCAAAACAAACAGUUCAUACAAUUUCAACACAAUUUCCAAUUCAGCCAUUCAUGCCAAUAUCACCAUAAGUCAUUCAAUUUAAACCAUAAAUUUACAACACAAUCAAACAAUCUCCAAUUACUCAAUUUCUAAAAUCAUCAUUCAAUUUCAAAAUGAUUUAUAAAACUCAUUUCAUUUAAUCACAUUUUACUUAUAAAACAUAAGGAUUUACCAUUUAAACUCAUUUUUCUAUAAAAUCACAAAAACGAAUAAAAACUACUUUAAAUAAUUAAGACGAUAAUAAGGUUACUCAUAAUAUCGAGAGUCGAAGUACUCCUAGUCCUAGUCUUCGGGUACAAUCUUCUUACCCUUAUUGGAAGUUUCACCACCUAAAUAUAAUGCACAACAAGCAAUUUACUAUAUCUGUACUAAACCGUUAUAAAAUUAAUUUAGGCUCUAUAUGAAUGCAUGAAAUGGGAUGCGAAAUAUUCAGAUUAUUAUCUAAAUAUUGUGUUCUACGUAGCUUCAAUUAAGUAUCGAAAUAAAAUGGUAUUGGCGUAAUUCAAUCUAUACACCUGUUAAUUGGCCAAUACAUCCAAUUCAACUCCAAUUAACUUGAUUCCACUUCCAACACUCCAAGUCAUCAAUUACAAGUUAAAUAAUAUGUAAUAUCACAAAAAUCCAUCAUCAAUAUCUUCCUUGUAAAAUUCGGCCAUUGAAGGUUUAGUGUAGAACAUGAAAUUUUCAUGCUUGAUUUUUACACCUUACAUCAUAAAACAACUAAAAACACCUAAAUAGCAUGAAAUUCAUCAAAGUCCAUUAUCCAAUUUCUCUCUUGAAAAUUUCAGCCAAGGAGUGUGGGUGAAGGGCAUGAAAUUUCUUGCUUGUUUUUCAUGCUAAACAUCACCAAACAACUAAAAACACUAAGAUACCUUGAAAUCUAACCAAAUAAAUCAUCAAAUCUUCUCUCCCUAAAUUCGGUCAGCCAUGAAUCCUUCAUGAGAUCUUGAAUUUUAACCAUGGUAAUUGAAAAAAAAUGCAUAGGAAAGGUAGAUCACAAGCUAGAAUUAAGAAAUUUUACCUUUACUUGCUUAAUUCCUUGAAAUCCAAUGAAUUUUCUCUUGAUUUUCUUCUCUAGGGUUUGUUCUAUGGUUUUUCCCUUUUGUUC